ensembl:lncRNA
GGGGAGCCCAGAUGGCUGUGUCUCCAGUGAAGCCAGAGACAAUAUAGCAAUCAGUUAAACAAUGCCACUAUUGCAACUACAGAGAUCCCCAGCAGACUUCUGCUUUUCUGCCAUCCUGAUAUCAAGUCCUACGGUAUCCUAUUUCUACCCUAAUGCAAUUGCCUCUCUCAAGGGUCACACAUUCCAUUGCAAAAAGCCAACAUUAGCUGAUAUAUAGUACUCAUUCAGUCUUUGGAUGUUUGGCUCAGAAGAGAUGCUAAGAUUGUACAGAGGAGUCCCAUGUGUACUGUACUCAGCUUCUUUGUAUAUAUAUGGAUUUUUUAAAGUUGGUUUUAAAGGACUUUGAGGAUUGUGCAAAAUUAGAGAGACUUGUAAUAUGAAUAAUAAAGUCCUAGAGAUAGACAUUGGGGUUCAAUCUUCAAGCUAAUGAUCAGAGAAGCAAAGAAGACAGCACCUACUCUUCCCUCUACCUCAGACUGGAAUGAGUGGCUCCAUGAAUCCUCAGAGUCCAAUGCUCUCCACCAAACCUCACACUGCAAUCCUACAUUGCUAUGCUCUCUUUGAUGUGGUUGGAGACUAAUUGCCUAAGACUGACUUUGCUUCUUCCUUAUAUACCUCUCUAGUUCUGGGAUUAAAGCUGCUGAAGGCUAUGCCUAGUUCCAUGAUCCUGCUACAGUUUGGGUCUGUGGUGAUUUCUAUGGCCCAUAUUACCAGGCUAGGACAUGCAAACCAUGCAUGUUGAAGCCUGAGGGCUGUACUGAGCAGUCCCUGCCUUUCUGUUGGCCCUGGGAGAUCUGACUCUGCACCUCCCUGGGAGAGAUAGCCCUGCCCUUCAUGGGACAGUUGAACCCCCUCCAUGUUAUGAGCACAGGAGAUCUGGCUCUAUUAUUUGCCUAAUGAGGGCAGUACCAUCAGAGGGACUAACUGACCAACUCAGCUACCACUCAGACUCACAUACAGUGUUGUGAGUUGGCCUACACCAAUAUAUACCACAUCUGUGACCUGCUGGAGUUGAUGAAGCAUCUGGUCUUGUGGAACCAUAGUUGCAGGAUUCCCCGUGACUCAGGCAACAGCAGGACAUCCAAGAAGAGUUUAGAUGAGGGUCCAGGACUGAGAGUAUAUCAGCAUCCCACGGUCUUGAAUCAGACCAGUACAAAGAACAUUUGCAAGGAAAGCUGUUUGAAAAAAGGAUAUACUUGAUGACACAUUGCAGCUCCCAGUAACAAUAAGAGCAGUGAAGAGGUAAGGAGGUAAGGAGAUGUGGGGAAGGUGGAAGAGCAAAGUGGGUUUUUGUUUUGUUUUCUGCUUUUUUUAAAAUCAAUGUUUUUAUUUUUUUAUUUUCAUUUGGAGGACACUAUAAUGGUAAAGGACAGUUAUGAAGGGACUGGGAAAUGAAUGGAAUGGAAUUGGGGUUCAUGAUAUGAGAUUCCCAAAGAAUAAAAUAAAAAUUAUAUGUUUAAAAUAAAAAGAAAGAAAAAAAGCAAGCAAUCAAGUUGAGCAAGCCAAUAAGCAGCACCCUCCAUGGCCUCUGCAUUAGCUUCUACCUGCAGGCUCC